rnacentral:rRNA from 1 species
UGAGUUUGAUCCUGGCUCAGGAUAAACGCUGGCGGCGCACAUAAGACAUGCAAGUCGAACGGAAGUCGUUAUACUGAUUUAGAUAAGAACGGAGAACUUGUUCGAAGGGACUUGAAGAAGAUUUAUAACAAUGGCUUUAGUGGCGGACUGGUGAGUAACACGUAAGCAACCUGCCUAUCAGAGGGGAACAACAGUUAGAAAUGACUGCUAAUACCGCAUAUGCCAUAAGUCACGCAUGUGACAAGUGGGAAAGGAGUAAUCCGCUGAUAGAUGGGCUUGCGUCUGAUUAGAUAGUUGGUGGGGUAACGGCCUACCAAGUCGACGAUCAGUAGCCGGACUGAGAGGUUGAACGGCCACAUUGGGACUGAGAUACGGCCCAGACUCCUACGGGAGGCAGCAGUCGGGAAUAUUGCGUAAUGGAGGAAACUCUGACGCAGUGACGCCGCGUGCAGGAAGAAGGUUUUCGGAUUGUAAACUGCUUUAGACAGGGAAGAAAAAGGACAGUACCUGUAGAAUAAGCUCCGGCUAACUACGUGCCAGCAGCCGCGGUAAUACGUAGGGAGCAAGCGUUAUCCGGAUUUAUUGGGUGUAAAGGGUGCGUAGACGGGAAAGCAAGUUAGUUGUGAAAUCCCUCGGCUUAACUGAGGAACUGCAACUAAAACUGUUUUUCUUGAGUGCUGGAGAGGAAAGUGGAAUUCCUAGUGUAGCGGUGAAAUGCGUAGAUAUUAGGAGGAACACCAGUGGCGAAGGCGACUUUCUGGACAGUAACUGACGUUGAGGCACGAAAGUGUGGGGAGCAAACAGGAUUAGAUACCCUGGUAGUCCACACCGUAAACGAUGGAUACUAGGUGUAGGUUGUGAUAAACAAUCUGUGCCGUCGCUAACGCAGUAAGUAUCCCACCUGGGGAGUACGGCCGCAAGGUUGAAACUCAAAGGAAUUGACGGGGGCCCGCACAAGCAGUGGAGUAUGUGGUUUAAUUCGACGCAACGCGAAGAACCUUACCAGGGCUUGACAUAUAGAUGAAGGCUUUAGAGAUAAAGCUGUCUUUCGAGACAUCUAUACAGGUGGUGCAUGGUUGUCGUCAGCUCGUGUCGUGAGAUGUUGGGUUAAGUCCCGCAACGAGCGCAACCCCUGUUCUUAGUUGCCAGCGAGUAAUGUCGGGAACUCUAAGAAGACUGCCGGUGACAAAUCGGAGGAAGGUGGGGACGACGUCAAAUCAUCAUGCCCUAUAUGUCCUGGGCUACACACGUACUACAAUGGGUGUUACAGAGGGAAGCGAAAUAGUGAUAUGGAGCAAAACCCAAAAAAGCACUCUCAGUUCGGAUUGAAGGCUGAAAUUCGCCUUCAUGAAGCCGGAAUUGCUAGUAAUGGCAGGUCAGCAUACUGCCGUGAAUACGUUCCCGGGCCUUGUACACACCGCCCGUCACACCAUGAGAAUUGGGAAUACCCGAAGCCUGUGAGCUAACUUUUAAAGAGGCAACAGUCGAAGGUAGAAUCAAUGAUUGGGGUGAAGUCGUAACAAGGUAGCCGUAUCGGAAGGUGCGGCUGGAUCACCUCCUU